UGGAUAUUAGACCUUUGCUGGAUGCAUAGUUUCUGAAUAUGUUCUUUCAUUCUGUAAGUUAUGUGUUUACUCUUUGAUAGUUUCUUUUGCUGCGCAGAAACUAAUUUUUAUAAUUAUGUCCUGU